GAUUCUUUGGGAAGGUCUGAGACUGAAGAGGCUCGCUACAACCGUCCCUUCAAACCGGGACCAAAUCCUUUCAAGAACAGUAUUCAUUUAUUUCAGAAACCUCACCUUCCCCAAAAGAGAAACAGUCCUGAAGUUGGGGCACCCAAAAGGCGCUUGGCAA
rnacentral:ribozyme from 1 species